rnacentral:rRNA from 1 species
UACGUAGGGACCAAGCGUUGUUCGGAUUUACUGGCGUAAGGAGGCGUAGCGGCAAUUCAAGUCAGCUGUGAAAUCUCCGGGCUUAACUCGGAACGGUCAGCUGAUACUGCUUUGCUAGAGUGCAGAAGGGGCAAUCGGAAUUCUUGGUGUAGCGGUGAAAUGCGUAGAUAUCAAGAGGAACACCUGAGGUGAAGACGGGUUGCUGGGCUGACACUGACGCUGAGUGCGCGAAAGCUAGGGUAGCAAACGGG